AACGAACGCUGGCGGCAGGCUUAACACAUGCAAGUCGAACGCCCCGCAAGGGGAGUGGCAGACGGGUGAGUAACGCGUGGGGAUGUGCCUUGAGGUGGGGAAUAACUGUGGGAAACUACAGCUAAUACCGCAUACGCCCUUUUGGGGAAAGAUUUAUCGCCUUUAGAGCAACCCGCGUCAGAUUAGCUAGUUGGUAGGGUAAUGGCCUACCAAGGCGACGAUCUGUAGCUGGUCUGAGAGGAUGACCAGCCACACUGGGACUGAGACACGGCCCAGACUCCUACGGGAGGCAGCAGUGGGGAAUAUUGGACAAUGGGCGCAAGCCUGAUCCUGCCAUGCCGCGUGAGUGAUGACGGCCUUAGGGUUGUAAAGCUCUUUUAACAGGGACGAUUAUGAGGGCGCCUGUCGAAUUAGCCCCGGUGAACUUCCUGCCUCCUCCCGCAGGGAUUCUCUGGGGUGUUCUGCUCUUCGUAAUUAUCCGCCUUCUCGC
rnacentral:rRNA from 1 species